AACGAACGCUGGCGGCAGGCUUAACACAUGCAAGUCGAGCGCCCCGCAAGGGGAGCGGCAGACGGGUGAGUAACGCGUGGGGAUCUACCCAUCUCUACGGAAUAACGCAUGGAAACGUGUGCUAAUACCGUAUACGUCCUUCGGGAGAAAGAUUUAUCGGAGAUGGAUGAGCCCGCGUUGGAUUAGCUAGUUGGUGGGGUAAAGGCCUACCAAGGCGGCGAUCCAUAGCUGGUCUGAGAGGAUGAUCAGCCACACUGGGACUGAGACACGGCCCAGAAUCCUACGGGAGGCGCCAGUGGGGAAUAUGGGACAAUGGGCCCAAGCCUGAUCCGGCCAUGCCGCGUGAGUGAUCAGGGCCCUAGGGUUGUAAAGCUCUUUCACCGGUGAAGAUAAUGACGGUAACCGGAGAAGAAGCCCCGGCUAACUUCGUGCCAGCAGCCGCCGUAAAAC
rnacentral:rRNA from 1 species